rnacentral:rRNA from 1 species
GUGAGGAAUAUUGCGCAAUGGAGGCAACUCUGACGCAGCCAUGCCGCGUGCAGGAAGAAGGCGCUACGCGUUGUAAACUGCUUUUAACCGGGAAGAAACCCCAGGACGUGUCCUGGGUUGACGGUACCGGAGGAAUAAGCACCGGCUAACUUCGUGCCAGCAGCCGCGGUAAUACGAAGGGUGCAAGCGUUAUCCGGAUUCAUUGGGUUUAAAGGGUGCGUAGGCGAAGCGUUAAGUCAGUGGUGAAAUCCUGCAGCUUAACUGUAGACUUGCCAUUGAUACUGGCGCGCUUGAGUGCGCUUGAAGUGGGCGGAAUGUGCCGUGUAGCGGUGAAAUGCUUAGAUAUGGCACAGAACACCAAUUGCGAAGGCAGCUCACUAAGGCGAUACUGACGCUGAGGCACGAAAGCGUGGGGAUCGAACAGGAUUAGAUACCCGUGUAGUCC